UGGUGCACCAGUUGUCACGCCAGUGGCACAGCUGGGCAGCUAUGUGCGGAUCGGAUAAACGCUGAAAGCAUCUAAGCGUGAAGCCGGCCUCAAGAUGAGAUAUCCCACUGAGUAAUCAGGUAAGGUCCCAGGUAGACUACCUGGUAGAUAGGCUGCGUGUGUAAGUGCGGUGACGCAUUGAGCUUGGCAGUACUAAUAGACCGAGGGCUUGACCAA
rnacentral:rRNA from 1 species